AUACUUACCUGGCAGGGGAGAUACCAUGAUCACGAAGGUGGUUCUCCCAGGGCGAGGCUCAUCCAUUGCACUCCGGCCGUGCUGACCCCUGCGAUUUCCCCAAAUGCGGGAAAGUCGACUGCAUAAUUUCUGGUAGUGGGGGACUGCGUUCGCGCUUUUCCCUG
rnacentral:snRNA from 1 species